GUCACUUUAAUAUUCCCAUCCCCGCACGGGACAACCACCCGGGUCCGACCGAAACACACGGUCACCUUCAUGUCCCCGCGUUAAUUCCAAAGAGGAAAAAGACGACGCAUCAAAGGGGCACAAACCAUCUCUGGGUGUUGACUUUACUUCAGAGAAACUUCGCAACCGAGCGGCUUCUCAGCGGGGAGCUCACAGCUGACAUGACGCUGCGAGGGUCGCCCACAUGUUGGAGCAGGCACCAGGAAUGUCUCCUGUGCAAAAGCACGCUGCACUUAACCCUUUAAAACCGGUACAUGUUUGUAUUUUAGAUUUGCUUGGGCAGGCUACCAAGAGUCAACAGUUUGCGCGGGUGGUGGACUCAGGGUCAUGGGAAGCCGCAGUACAUCCCUGGUGACUUCAGGCAAGAAGCGGAGUCUAUCUUGGACUGGUCACCUGAUCAUCACAACUGGGCAACUAUAAGGACUGAUGAGCAUUUAAUCUCACAAAACACAAAUUUGCAUACUAUCAUUUCAAAUUAUGAAGCUGUCAUGAUGGAAAGUUUAAACACAUUUUGAACACAAGUCAAACGACAUAGAUGAAUAAAAACAACCAGCAGUC